UACGUAGGGUGCAAGCGUUGUCCGGAAUUAUUGGGCGUAAAGAGCUCGUAGGCGGUCUGUCGCGUCUGCUGUGAAAAUCCAGGGCUCAACCCUGGACCUGCAGUGGGUACGGGCAGACUAGAGUGCGGUAGGGGAGACUGGAAUUCCUGGUGUAGCGGUGAAAUGCGCAGAUAUCAGGAGGAACACCGGUGGCGAAGGCGGGUCUCUGGGCCGUAACUGACGCUGAGGAGCGAAAGCAUGGGGAGCGAACAGG
rnacentral:rRNA from 1 species